UACGGAGGGUGCAAGCGUUAUCCGGAAUUAUUGGGUUUAAAGGGUCCGUAGGCGGACCAUUAAGUCAGUGGUGAAAUCUCUCGGCUCAACCGGGAAACUGCCAUUGAUACUGAUGGUCUUGAAUAUAGUUGAAGUGGGCGGAAUAUGGCAUGUAGCGGUGAAAUGCUUAGAUAUGCCAUAGAACACCGAUAGCGAAGGCAGCUCACUAAGUUAUUAUUGACGCUAAGGGACGAAAGCGUGGGGAGCGAACAGG
rnacentral:rRNA from 1 species